GGCGGACGGGUGAGUAACGCGUGGGUAACCUGCCUUGUACUGGGGGACAACAGUUGGAAACGACUGCUAAUACCGCAUAAGCGCACAGCUUCGCAUGAAGCAGUGUGAAAAACUCCGGUGGUACAAGAUGGACCCGCGUCUGGUUAGCUAGUUGGUAAGGUAACGGCUUACCAAGGCGACGAUCAGUAGCCGACCUGAGAGGGUGAUCGGCCACAUUGGAACUGAGACACGGUCCAA
rnacentral:rRNA from 1 species